UAAUACGUAGGGGGCAAGCGUUAUCCGGAAUUACUGGGCGUAAAGGGUGCGUAGGUGGCCUGACAAGUCAGGGGUCAAAGGCAACGGCUCAACCGUUGUAAGCCCUUGAAACUGUCGGGCUUGAGUUCAGGAGAGGAAAGCGGAAUUCCUAGUGUAGCGGUGAAAUGCGUAGAUAUUAGGAGGAACACCAGUGGCGAAGGCGGCUUUCUGGACUGAUACUGACACUGAGGCACGAAAGCGUGGGGAGCAAACAGGAUUAGAUACCCUGGUAGUCCACGCCGUAAACGAUGAGUACUAGGUGUCGGCCCUAAGGGUCGGUGCCGCAGUUAA
rnacentral:rRNA from 1 species